AAAUAAAAAAAGAUCCGAGAAUGGCUGCCAACCAAAAGUUUGUUGCCGUGUUUUUGAUGUUUAUGGUUGCUCUCUCCUCUAUGCAGGUUGUCCCUGUCUCUGCCAACUUUAUGGAAUCAAGAUCGACCAGUUUUGAAGCAUCUGAUCUUGAGGGUGCGGGGACCACUCUUGGUGCGUCUAAGAAGGUUGCGGCAGAACAAGAUACAGUGGUCGAUCCAAUGAUGUCAAAGAAUACUUAAAAAUUAAGGGGAAGAACACCAACCACAAGACAUACAUGUUUUAGAAUAAAAAUGUGCUUAGUACAUACCAAAUAAUUAUGUGUUAUUUUCAAUUUCUUUGUAGUCUUAUAUAUAUUACUAUAGGUGAGUAGGUGCUAAAUUAUACUUAGAAAUGUAAUAAUGACAAUGUUCAAAUACAUUGUCUAAUCAAUAGAAUAAUAUUGGCAUGCAAUGAUUCAUCUGCUUG